UACGUAGGGUGCGAGCGUUGUCCGGAAUUAUUGGGCGUAAAGGGCUCGUAGGCGGUCUGUCGCGUCGGGAGUGAAAACUCAGGGCUUAACCCUGAGCCUGCUUCCGAUACGGGCAGACUAGAGGUAUGCAGGGGAGAACGGAAUUCCUGGUGUAGCGGUGAAAUGCGCAGAUAUCAGGAGGAACACCGGUGGCGAAGGCGGGUCUCUGGGCCGAUAUUGACGCUGAGGUGCGAAAGCGUGGGGAGCAAACAGG
rnacentral:rRNA from 1 species